rnacentral:rRNA from 1 species
UACCAGCACCCCGAGUGGUCGGGACGAUUAUUGGGCCUAAAGCAUCCGUAGCCGGUCAUGCAAGUCCUCCGUUAAAUCCAGCCGCUCAACGGUUGGGCUGCGGAGGAUACUACGUGUCUAGGAGGCGGGAGAGGCAAGCGGUACUCAGUGGGUAGGGGUAAAAUCCUUUGAUCCAUUGAAGACCACCAGUGGCGAAGGCGGCUUGCCAGAACGCGCUCGACGGUGAGGGAUGAAAGCUGGGGGAGCAAACCGG